GAAUUCGCCCUUAGAGUUUGAUCCUGGCUCAGGACGAACGCUGGCGGCGUGCUUAACACAUGCAAGUCGAACGGGCCUUAACGAAUAGAUUACUAUGAGCUAAGGUUAGUGGCGGACGGGUGAGUAACACGUGGAUAACCUACCUGACACAUCGGGAUAACACCGUGAAAACAGUGCUAAUACCGGAUACGUUCUUUAGGGCGCAUGGUCUAAAGAAGAAAGGGGGAACCCGGUGACAGAUGGAUCCGCGGCUGAUUAGCCAGUUGGUGGGGUAAAGGCCUACCAAAGCGACGAUCAGUAGCCGGCCUGAGAGGGUGAACGGCCACACUGGAACUGAGACACGGUCCAGACUCCUACGGGAGGCAGCAGUGGGGAAUCUUCCGCAAUGGGCGCAAGCCUGACGGAGCAACGCCGCGUGGGUGACGAAGGCCUUCGGGUUGUAAAGCCCUGUCAAAUGGGAAGAAAGGAAUGACAGUACCAUAAGAGGAAGCCACGGCUAACUACGUGCCAGCAGCCGCGGUAAUACGUAGGUGGCAAGCGUUGUCCGGAAUUACUGGGCGUAAAGGGCGAGUAGGCGGUUAAUUAAGUCAGGUGUGAAAACUGUGGGCUCAACCCAGAGAGUGCACCUGAUACUGAGUAACUUGAGUGCAGGAGAGGGCAGUGGAAUUCCUAGUGUAGCGGUGAAAUGCGUAGAUAUCAGGAGGAACACCGGUGGCGAAGGCGACUUCCUGGUCCUAUACUGACGCUGAGACGCGAGAGCGUGGGGAGCAAACAGGAUUAGAUACCCUGGUAGUCCACGCCGUAAA
rnacentral:rRNA from 1 species